UAUGGAGCAAGCGUUAUCCGGAUUUACUGGGUGUAAAGGGAGCGCAGGCGGUGCGGCAAGUCUGAUGUGAAAACCCGGGGCUUAACCCCGGGACUGCAUUGGAAACUGCCGGACUAGAGUGCCGGAGAGGUAAGUGGAAUUCCUAGUGUAGCGGUGAAAUGCGUAGAUAUUAGGAAGAACACCAGUGGCGAAGGCGGCUUACUGGACGGUAACUGACGCUGAGGCUCGAAAGCGUGGGGAGCAAA
rnacentral:rRNA from 1 species